CGGUUCAUCUCCUAGAACCUUUGAUCCAGGAGAUCCUCUCGACUGUGAGUCUCGAGGGUCUUCUGGCAGAAUGGAGGUAGAGACCCUCUGGGGGUGGAAUCAUGAUCAGACAGAGGGCUCUCUUCCCUAUGCUUCUCUUUUUUGAGAAAGACAGGGCGACUGGCCUAAGUGGCCUACCCGGUCGUCGGAUUCUGAAACUCCGACGAUGCUCUUUCCAGCCGCACAGAUGCCUAUGGCUGCUGCUGCAUGGCCUGUACGGCUUCGGUGAGGCC
rnacentral:lncRNA from 1 species